GUGCUAAGUUGUUUAGGGAAAACUAGGUAUUAAGUUUCCCCGGUUGACACAGGGUGGUGAGUGUUACUGGGAUUUCAGCUGGAACUGGCUUAUCCUCUGUGUGUGACACGCUAAUGUCUCAGGCUGGCCCAAGUUUACGUGAUGAUUUUUAUUCCUGCUCUUCCUGUGAGUUGCAGGCUCCUCUCGUGUUUCCUGUGGGAUGCAGCUGUCCUGCCUCUUUGUUCACCUGUCAUAGCGCUAUUUGUGCAGAAGGUCUUGAGCCUUCCCCAGACCUACCGAGCCUACCUCACCGAUUCUCAGAACUUGUACUGCUCUGAUCUCCAACAGCGUAAACUAAAUGCAAACACUGAUGAGGGGAAGAAAUUUUC